rfam:Bacillus litoralis strain C44 Scaffold5, whole genome shotgun sequence.
AGAACCUUUAACACAGUCCCGUGAGGCUGAGAAGGAAAACGGAAAUGAUGACUAUGGUCAUAUUUAUGCCAUUAGUCUAUCUAUGUCUUCGUAAACCCUCUCCCAAAACGGUGAGAGGGUUUUUCGUUU